UACGGGAGGCAGCAGGGGGAAUAUUGCACAAUGGGCGCAAGCCUGAUGCAGCCAUGCCGCGUGUAUGAAGAAGGCCUUCGGGUUGUAAAGUACUUUCAGUCGUGAGGAAGGUGUUAAGGUUAAUAACCUUAGCAAUUGACGUUAGCGACAGAAGAAGCACCGGCUAACUCCGUGCCAGCAGCCGCGGUAAUACGGAGGGUGCGAGCGUUAAUCGGAAUUACUGGGCGUAAAGGGCACGCAGGCGGUUAAUUAAGUUGGAUGUGAAAUCCCCGGGCUUAACCUGGGAAUGGCAUUCAAGACUGGUUAGCUAGAGUCUUGUAGAGGGGGUAGAAUUCCAUGUGUAGCGGUGAAAUGCGUAGAGAUGUGGAGGAAUACCGGUGGCGAAGGCGGCCCCUGGACAAAGACUGACGCUCAUGUGCGAAAGCGUGGGGAGCGAAACAGGGAUUAGAUACCC
rnacentral:rRNA from 1 species